rnacentral:lncRNA from 1 species
AGGAAAAAGGAAAGCAAGAAAAGACAAGUGAAAAGAUUAGUAAUAUAUUCAUUGUCAUUAGUUACUGAAAAUAUAACAAAUUGAAUUUUAAUAAUUUUUAUUAAUAAAGUAUAAAAUUAAAUGAUGAUAGAAAGUAUAUGCCUCCUAUAAAUAUCUUCCAUUUGGUAGCUUUUAAUAGUUUCAAAGCCCUUUCACAUAUGUUUUAAGUAAGUCUUUUGAGAAAUACUUGUGAGUUAAUGGGACUUAAACCAACAGAAAAGGAAAGCUAAUUUAGUUAUAAAUCAAGCCUGAGGUUUCAGAUUUCUGGACUAAAAAUAUGGUUCAGUUUGUGCUGCUGUGGGAUGAAGAAUGGGCAGAGAAAAUCCACAGUGCAGGCAUGGGGAUUAAUGGCAUUUGGCACUUAGCUGCAGGGUUUGGGGGACAACAGGGAGUGGUGGGAUGGUGGUUAAGUAAGGGUGCAUGCCCCACCUGAAGCUCUACAGUGGCUCAGCUCCAACUGAGUGUUGCCAUGGGAAAAUCUGAUGGGGCCAGAUCUGAUCCUUCAGAGAAUGAGGAAUUCCAGGUUGUUAUGUGAAUUCUCACAAUUUGUAAAUGUCGGCUUGCCAUUCAGCUUUUUUGUUUGUUUGUUUUAAAUAAUAUCAUGUGGGUCAAACAAACUAUGUUAAUGGUAGCCAUCUGGCCUGGGGCUAGUAGCUUAUUGCCUCUGGCCAGUGGUGUGCUAACAAAAGUUUAACCAGCAGCUCUCCAACAAAAAAGGGAGGUGGGCUGCUCUGCCUAUGCAGUAGCCAUGCUUUUAUUCCUUUACUUUGUUAAUAAACUUGCUUUCACUUUA